GGAGGCUGGGAACGCUGCAGUGAUUCACCCGAGGUCCUGGGGCUGCCAGGGCACCAGAGGCAGCACUCCCAGGCAGCUCUCCUCGGGGCAGGUGGACUGGGGGCACUCUGCCUGCCUCUUGGGGAGGCUGGAAUAAAUCUUCCUGCGAUGGGCAAACAGAAGCCCUGGAGCUGCGCUCGCCUGCCAGAUCCGCGCCGCUGCCUCUGUCUCUGUCUUUUGCGUUCUCUUCUCCCCGUCCCCCCCUCGGAACCGACGCUGGGAUUUGCAAGCGGCUCCAGCGCUCUCCACGAGGGUGUGGGGAGCUCAGCGCCGCGGUCGCUCCCUGCAUGCGAAGCAGCUGCAGCCUCCCUGCCGCACGGAGCCCUUCGGGCCGGGAGCAGGGCGCGGGAUGUGUGCUCG